rnacentral:rRNA from 1 species
AUUGAACGCUGGCGGCAGGCCUAACACAUGCAAGUCGAACGAAGCCUUCGGGCUUAGUGGCGGACGGGUGAGUAACACGUGGGAACGUACCUUUUGGUUCGGAAUAACGCAGAGAAAUUUGCGCUAAUACCGAAUGAGCCCUUCGGGGGAAAGAUUUAUCGCCGAAAGAUCGGCCCGCGUUGGAUUAGGUAGUUGGUGUGGUAAAGGCGCACCAAGCCUACGAUCCAUAGCUGGUCUGAGAGGAUGAUCAGCCACACUGGGACUGAGACACGGCCCAGACUCCUACGGGAGGCAGCAGUGGGGAAUCUUGCGCAAUGGGCGAAAGCCUGACGCAGCCAUGCCGCGUGAAUGAUGAAGGUCUUAGGAUUGUAAAAUUCUUUUACCAGGGACGAUAAUGACGGUACCUGGAGAAAAAGCCCCGGCUAACUUCGUGCCAGCCGCCGCAGUAAUAC